rnacentral:rRNA from 2 species
CUGGAGGUAUCAGAAGUGCGAAUGCUGACAUAAGUAACGAUAAAGCGGGUGAAAAGCCCGCUCGCCGGAAGACCAAGGGUUCCUGUCCAACGUUAAUCGGGGCAGGGUGAGUCGACCCCUAAGGCGAGGCCGAAAGGCGUAGUCGAUGGGAAACAGGUUAAUAUUCCUGUACUUGGUGUUACUGCGAAGGGGGGACGGAGAAGGCUAUGUUGGCCGGGCGACGGUUGUCCCGGUUUAAGCGUGUAGGCUGGUUUUCCAGGCAAAUCCGGAAAAUCAAGGCUGAGGCGUGAUGACGAGGCACUACGGUGCUGAAGCAACAAAUGCCCUGCUUCCAGGAAAAGCCUCUAAGCAUCAGGUAACAUCAAAUCGUACCCCAAACCGACACAGGUGGUCAGGUAGAGAAUACCAAGGCGCUUGAGAGAACUCGGGUGAAGGAACUAGGCAAAAUGGUGCCGUAACUUCGGGAGAAGGCACGC